rnacentral:rRNA from 1 species
UACGUAGGGGGCGAGCGUUGUCCGAAGUUACUGGGCGUAAAGCGCGCGUAGGCGGGGAAUUAAGUGAGAAGUGAAAGGCUGGGGCUCAACCUCAUGCAGUGCUUCUCAUACUGGUUCUCUUGAGGGCGGUAGAGAGAAGUGGAAUGGCUGGUGUAGCGGUGAAAUGCGUAGAUAUCAGUCGGAACACCAGUGGCGAAGGCGGCUACCUGGACCGGUUCUGACGCUGAGGCGCGAAAGCGUGGGUAGCAAACAGG